rnacentral:lncRNA from 10 species
CCAAGCACCACGAUGGAGCCUGUUAUUGAAGGCAGACAGCCUGGAGGAGCUUAAACUGGGACUUCCCUUGGAGACCUUCCCCACAGCAGCUGGGCAGUCAGGUGCGUUCCAGAAUGCUAAGAACCAAAGGAGAAGGGCAUGCUUCUGUCCGUGGCUUUUUACUUUUUAAAACUGAA